GGCCCCGUGGCGGAAUGGCAUACGCAGUGGAUUUAAAAUCCACGGCCGUAACUGGCGUGUCGGUUCGACCCCGACCGGGGCUA
rnacentral:tRNA from 1 species